ensembl:lncRNA
GCGGUCACAAAAAUAGCACAUCCAAUUUAUUUUCGUUCUCAUAUUUAAUUUUAGCGGCUUAAUGUGAGAAAUAUUAUACAUGUGUGUCGCUACAUUGAGUUCUAGAAAAACUUUAAUAACCCUAAAUACGUUUCUGAUGCGUUUUCCACUGAGGUAAAAUUCGUUAGAAAACGCGCGCUGGUUUUGAUUUGAAUCUCCCGCGUCGGCGUCUUCUAAAUCAGUGAGAAGAAGAACAACAGCACUGACGUUAUUUAACCAUGUAAUAUGGCGGUUCUUAAAACAAACAAAAUUGUAUUUACUCGCCUGAGCGCACUUUAUUCGCUUCAUUUGUCUCUCGUUCAUGGCUGCAGCACUGUGAUGUGUCCAGCAGAGGUCAGCAGCUUUACUCUCUCUGUGACAGGAGCUCAAACUACAGUUUGCUCAUCAUAUCAUCACUGAACUCUACCGAAAACUUUACAAUCUGUUCACACAUACACACAUACACGCACUUGUUCUCAGUUCUUCCUCGACAACAGUCUCUGAUUCGCUGAGCUGCUGUGACGUCAGUCAGUGACGAGAGGGGGCAGAAAAAAACAGCGGUUUUGGGGUUUCCUCCUCAAUACUGACUGGAAACAUCAGUGUGUGUGUGUGUGUGAGAGGAAGUUAAACUGCGGACACACCCAGACUAAGAUCAUACACACACACACACACCCGUGUGCUGGUGUCAAGUUUUCUUGUGUGAGUUGAUGAGGGCGGAGUGUGUUUAGGUGACACAAAUAAACUCUUAAAUUACUGCUAAGUGUGUGUGUGUGUGUGUGUGUGUGUGUUAUCUGUAAGCCGCUGUAGCUCGUCAGGGUUGUGUGAAGCGCUAAGUGCCUCUAAAUCUGUGUGAGUUUAGUCGUUCGGCUCUUUAAGGCCUUUUUUGUGUUUGAAAACACAAGCUACAGAAACAGGAAAUGCUCUGAAUUCUGGGCUGAUCUCUUCCUGUCACGACUGGUGAUCAGAUACAUGGUGCCAACCGAAUCAAGAAACUCCACUUUAGAGUCUCAG